rnacentral:rRNA from 1 species
UACGGAGGGUGCAAGCGUUGUCCGGAAUCACUGGGCGUAAAGGGCGCGUAGGCGGCCAUUCAAGUCGGGGGUGAAAGCCUGUGGCUCAACCACAGAAUUGCCUUCGAUACUGUUUGGCUUGAGUAUGGCAGAGGUCAGUGGAACUGCGAGUGUAGAGGUGAAAUUCGUAGAUAUUCGCAAGAACACCAGUGGCGAAGGCGGCUGACUGGGCCAUUACUGACGCUGAGGCGCGAAAGCGGGGGGAGAAAACAGG